rnacentral:tRNA from 1 species
GCCAGUGUGGUGGAAUUGGUAGACACAACGGACUUAAAAUCCGUCGGGUAUCGCACUCAUGUCGGUUCGAUUCCGAUCACUGGUACCA